rnacentral:rRNA from 1 species
AGGGGUUCGAUUCUGGCUCAGGAUGAACGCUAGCGACAGGCUUAACACAUGCAAGUCGAGGGGCAGCACGGGAGUAGCAAUACUUGGUGGCGACCGGCGCACGGGUGAGUAACGCGUAUGCAACCUACCUAUCAGAGGGGAAUAACCCGGCGAAAGUCGGACUAAUACCGCAUAAAACAGGGGCACCGCAUGGUGAUAUUUGUUAAAGAAAUUCGCUGAUAGAUGGGCAUGCGUUCCAUUAGGUAGUUGGUGAGGUAACGGCUCACCAAGCCGACGAUGGAUAGGGGAACUGAGAGGUUGGUCCCCCACACUGGUACUGAGACACGGACCAGACUCCUACGGGAGGCAGCAGUGAGGAAUAUUGGUCAAUGGGCGGGAGCCUGAACCAGCCAAGUCGCGUGAAGGAAAAGAAGGAUCUAUGGUUCGUAAACUUCUUUUGCAGGGGAAUAAAGUGCAGGACGUGUCCUGUUUUGUAUGUACCCUGAGAAUAAGGAUCGGCUAACUCCGUGCCAGCAGCAGC